AGACCCGAAACCCGGUGAUCUAGCCAUGGGCAGGUUGAAGGUUGGGUAACACUAACUGGAGGACCGAACCGACUAAUGUUGAAAAAUUAGCGGAUGACCUGUGGCUGGGGGUGAAAGGCCAAUCAAACCGGGAGAUAGCUGGUUCUCCCCGAAAGCUAUUUAGGUAGCGCCUCGUGAACUCAUCUCCGGGGGUAGAGCACUGUUUCGGCUAGGGGGCCAUCCCGGCUUACCAACCCGAUGCAAACUGCGAAUACCGGAGAAUGUUAUCACGGGAGACACACGGCGGGUGCUAACGUCCGUCGUGAAGAGGGAAACAACCCAGACCGCCAGCUAAGGUCCCAAAGUCAUGGUUAAGUGGGAAACGAUGUGGGAAGGCCCAGACAGCCAGGAUGUUGGCUUAGAAGCAGCCAUCAUUUAAAGAAAGCGUAAUAGCUCACUGGUCGAGUCGGCCUGCGCGGAAGAUGUAACGGGGCUAAACCAUGCACCGAAGCUGCGGCAGCGACACUUUAGUGUUGUUGGGUAGGGGAGCGUUCUGUAAGCCGUUGAAGGUGUCCUGUGAGGGGUGCUGGAGGUAUCAGAAGUGCGAAUGCUGACAUAAGUAACGAUAAAGCGGGUGA
rnacentral:rRNA from 1 species